GAGUGCCUCAAGCGUUAUCCGGAAUCAUUGGGCGUAAAGGUUGUGUAGGUGGUCAUAUUAGUCUUUUGUUAAAUUCUUCGGCUUAACCGGGGGCAUGCAAGGGAAACGGUAUGACUAGAGGAUGCGAGGGGUCUGCGGAACUCAUAGUGUAGCGGUGAAAUGCGUUGAUAUUAUGGGGAACACCAAAAGCGAAGGCAGCAGACUGGAGCACUCCUGACACUGAAACAAGAAAGCGUGGGUCGCGAAUGGGAUUAGAUACCCCAGUAGUCCACGCCCUAAACGAUCUUCUCUAGUUUUUCGGAGUAUCGACCCUCUGAGAGACGUAGCUAACGCGUUAAGAGAAGCGCCUGGGUAGUACGACCGCAAGGUUA
rnacentral:rRNA from 1 species